GUGAGGGGGUUCCCAUGGGAAGGAAGUAAUGCUGGAUAUUGGCAGUCAAGGUUGAUGGAGUGAGGUGGUCCACUUGCAGGAUGUCCUGGCCCUGGAUGCUGGAGGGUGCAAGCCUAAGGUGCUGCUGCUGCCCUGGGCGUGCCAAGGGCCAGAGGCGAGCAGGUUUGUCCUGGCCACCUCCAGAGUCAGAUCAAGAUUUGAGGUACCGUGAGCAGGUGUGGAGCUGAAGUUUGGAGAGAGCAGGUCCCCAAGGCCGAUUCCGAUCCCUGCAGUCACCGAUGCUACCGCUUUUCCCACAAUCUGCCCUUCUAGGUCAUGGAGCAGCAGUUGGAAGAUGUGUUGAUGUGUCUUUGUCAGUGGAGUGUUGUGACAGCACAGUGCAGCAACCCUGGAACCCUCAGUGCAGCACAGCUCAGUAAGCCUGGUGCUGGGAUAACCCUGGAACCCUCAGAGGAGGACAAGGCCCACACCAAAAAG